rnacentral:rRNA from 1 species
UUUAAAUUGAGAGUUUGAUCCUGGCUCAGGACGAACGCUGGCGGCGUGCCUAACACAUGCAAGUCGAGCGAUGAAACUUCCUUCGGGGAGUGGAGUAGCGGCGGACGGGUGAGUAACACGUGGGUAACCUGCCUCAAAGAGGGGGAUAGCCUUCCGAAAGGGAGAUUAAUACCGCAUAACAUUAUUUUAUGGCAUCAUAGAAUAAUCAAAGGAGCAAUCCGCUUUGAGAUGGACCCGCGGCGCAUUAGCUAGUUGGUGAGGUAAGGGCUCACCAAGGCGACGAUGCGUAGCCGACCUGAGAGGGUGAUCGGCCACAUUGGAACUGAGACACGGUCCAGACUCCUACGGGAGGCAGCAGUGGGGAAUAUUGCGCAAUGGGGGAAACCCUGACGCAGCAACGCCGCGUGAGUGAUGAAGGUUUUCGGAUCGUAAAACUCUGUCUUUAGGGACGAUAAUGACGGUACCUAAGGAGGAAGCCACGGCUAACUACGUGCCAGCAGCCGCGGUAAUACGUAGGUGGCAAGCGUUGUCCGGAUUUACUGGGCGUAAAGAGUAUGUAGGUGGGUGCUUAAGUCAGAUGUGAAAUUCCCGGGCUUAACCUGGGCGCUGCAUUUGAAACUGGGCAUCUAGAGUGCAGGAGAGGAAAGUGGAAUUCCUAGUGUAGCGGUGAAAUGCGUAGAGAUUAGGAAGAACACCAGUGGC